rnacentral:rRNA from 1 species
UACGUAGGGCGCAAGCGUUGUCCGGAAUUAUUGGGCGUAAAGAGCUCGUAGGCGGUCUGUCGCGUCGGAUGUGAAAGCCCGGGGCUUAACCCCGGGUCUGCAUUCGAUACGGGCAGACUAGAGUGUGGUAGGGGAGAUCGGAAUUCCUGGUGUAGCGGUGAAAUGCGCAGAUAUCAGGAGGAACACCGGUGGCGAAGGCGGAUCUCUGGGCCAUUACUGACGCUGAUGCGCGAAAGCCAGGGGAGCGAACGGG